GAUGAACGCUGACAGAAUGCUUAACACAUGCAAGUCUACCAAGAAUCACUUCGGCGAGGAAUGGUGGCGGACGGGUGAGUAACGCGUAAAUAAUCUGCCCUUUAGACUGGGAUAUCCUUUGGAAACGAAGGUUAAUACCGGAUAUUAUGAGAUGGACGCAUGUUCAACUUAUGAAAGCUAAAUGCACUAGAGGAGGAGUUUGCGUCCCAUUAGCUAGUUGGUGAGGUAAAGGCUCACCAAGGCCACGAUGGGUAGCCGGCCUGAGAGGGUGAACGGCCACAAGGGAACUGAGACACGGUCCUUACUCCGACGGGAGGCAGCAGUGGGGAAUAUUGGACAAUGGACCAAAAGUCUGAUCCAGCAAUUCUGUGUGCACGAUGAAGGUCUUCGGAUUGUAAAGUGCUUUCAGUAGGGAAGAAAAAAAUGACGGUACCUACAGAAGAAGCGACGGCUAAAUAUGUGCCAGCAGCCGCGGUAA
rnacentral:rRNA from 1 species